GCAGUCGAACGAUGAUCCCAGCUUGCUGGGGGAUUAGUGGCGAACGGGUGAGUAACACGUGAGUAACCUACCCUUAACUCUGGGAUAAGCCUGAGAAAUUGGGUCUAAUACUGGAUAUGACUGACUGUCGCAUGGUGGUUGGUGGAAAGCUUUUUUGUGGUUUUGGAUGGACUCGCGGCCUAUCAGCUUGUUGGUGAGGUAAUGGCUUACCAAGGCGACGACGGGUAGCCGGCCUGAGAGGGUGACCGGCCACACUGGGACUGAGACACGGCCCAGACUCCUACGGGAGGCAGCAGUGGGGAAUAUUGCACAAUGGGCGCAAGCCUGAUGCAGCGACGCCGCGUGAGGGAUGAAGGCCUUCGGGUUGUAAACCUCUUUCAGUAGGGAAGAAGCGAAAGUGACGGUACCUGCAGAAGAAGCGCCGGCUAACUACGUGCCAGCAGCCGCGGUAAUACGUAGGGCGCAAGCGUUAUCCGGAAUUAUUGGGCGUAAAGAGCUCGUAGGCGGUUUGUCGCGUCUGCCGUGAAAGUCCGGGGCUUAACUCCGGAUCUGCGGUGGGUACGGGCAGACUAGAGUGAUGUAGGGGAGACUGGAAUUCCUGGUGUAGCGGUGAAAUGCGCAGAUAUCAGGAGGAACACCGAUGGCGAAGGCAGGUCUCUGGGCAUUAACUGACGCUGAGGAGCGNAAAGCAUGGGGAGCGAACAGGAUUAGAUACCCUGGUAGUCCAUGCCGUAAACGUUGGGCACUAGGUGUGGGGGACAUUCCACGUUUUCCGCGCCGUACCUAACGCAUUAAGUGCCCCGCCCUGGGGAGUACGGCCGCAGGGCUAAAACUCAAGGAGUUGACGGGGGGCCCGCACAAGCGGGCGGAGCAUGCGGAUUAAUU
rnacentral:rRNA from 1 species